UCCGAAACUGCACAAGAGUAUGUACCUGUUUAUCAGAGUUCUUCAAUUCCUCUUCUCUCAUCUGCUGAACGUUCAAGGUAUUAUUCCAACUUAAAUAAAGAAGAAGAUGAAGAUUUGAACAAUUUUCGGCUUGGACAAGAAGAAAACAAUCAGGAAAAUAAAUCAAGUGAAGAUCCUUCACUUUUUCAGACCUUCUUGCAUUGGAUUUCACAUCCUUUCAGUAUAGUCUACAAAUAUCUAAAGAAGAAAUCAGAAAGUCAACAAGAAUUAGAUGUACCAGAGACGGCAUCUAGUUCUAACUUCGAUACAGGGUACUUUGAACAAUUCUUUCCUCUUGGAAGUAAACAAGAUGUUUUUCAAAUAUCGAAUCCUACAUGUAUAGAAAGAGAAGAUAUUUAUAGGACAAGAAAGACAUGGAAACUGCAGUCAA